GUCAUCGACAAAAUUCAAUAAUAAUUAUUUUGUUAACAUUACUAAAAACGAGUCUGUACUGUCGCCGUUGUGUUAUGAUGAUCGUACACUGACGUUGGUCAAUAUAUUUUGACAAUAUAUACGGACAGACGGAUUCAUUUUGUUUCAAAGUGGGCGUAAUUCGAACAACUUUUACAUACCGCCGAGAGUAGUGAGUCGAACAAUAUUUUGAUUAUUUUUUGCUUUACAAAAUCGUUAAAUACAGGAAUCAAUAUAGUUUUGGCAACCAAAGGUGGGGUCGGGGCGUGCAACAUAUACGUCAUCUAGAUUCGCCACUUAUCUUAUAAAGUGUAUACCGAAUUAAAAUAUUGUAAGAAAUGAGAAAACAGGGACACCCGGGAAAUCUUUUGUUGUACUGUUUGUGUCAGCGACAACACUUCGACUCAGUCCAUUCCCGAAUCACACGCUUGUAAUUCCAUGGUUGUCUUUAGUUGCUUUAUACCACAUGC
rnacentral:lncRNA from 1 species